rnacentral:rRNA from 1 species
AUGCCGAUGGGAGGUGUGCGGCUGGUGCAGGCGAGCUGCGUCCAGCGCGUGGCGGUGGUGAUGCUCCUCUUUGUGGUGCUCCGGUGGUCAGAGCCAGAAGCAGAGGUGGUGCUUGUUGAUCUCUACUUCUUCCUGUGCUGCCAUGGUGGUGGGCGGAAGGACACGGGAGGAAGGGGAUCCUUUAGCAGACGAACUAUUUUUGUUCGUUCUUGGGGCCCUAUCUCUGCAGUAAAUCCGAAGGGGUGCUUCAACAACAUGCUGCGGUUUCUUCUGGUCGAAGGGCGACCUAUACGAGCUCCGGCGACUCAAGCCGGCUCUUCUUAUUCCUCCCGGCCGUCGAGCCAAAAGGGAGGCAGUUCAUCAGAGCUUCGAAAUGGCAAUUUUCAGUGUUUACCACUGGUGUUUUGCUGGUGGUGCUGCAGCCAUUCCUCUGCCCCAAGUGGUUUCGUGCCCGGCGGUGUUGGAAUCGGGCCAGGAUCGAAGCAGGCGGUGCCAAGGACGCGGUUGCUUUUUAAUUUCGUCUACUGGGGUCCUAUUUGCAAAGUUUCAGACUUUGGAUGUAAUCUCUACUUUCUGCUAGGUCUGGUUGUAAAAUGUUGCAUGCUUAUCUAA